UGGCAAAAGAAAUAAAUGACUCUCAGUUUAAAAAAAAGUAAGGGAACCAGGUUUGCUAAAGUAAUUGUGGUGAUAGAAAAGUAUUGGCCUCAGAAGCUACCGAGGUGGUCCAUUCUAUCCCAGGACAGUG